CUUUUCGAGGUGGGAGUCUACUGAGGUGAGGUAUGGUGCUGGGUGCAGAUGCAAUGUGGCUCUGGAUAGCACCUUAUGGACAGUUGUGUCCCAAAGGAAGGAUGAGAAUAGCUACUGAAGUAAGUUGAAAAUCUUUAAAUCUCAAAAAGAUUUAAAGCCAUUGGAUGUGCCACAAUGAUGACAGUUUAUUUGCUACUCUUGAGUGCUAGAAUGAUGAGGAUCUUAACCACCAUUAUCUUAACUGAGGCACCCAAAAUGGUGAUUUGGGGAACAGAGAGAGUACACCUAAGUUCACACGAAGUUGUUUCUUCCCAGGUCCUAAAGAGCAAGCCUAACUCAAGCCAUUGGCACACCGGCAUUAGACAGAAAACUGGAAGUUGAAAUGGUGGAGUCCAACUUGUCUGGACCAGCUUAAUGGUUCUGCUCCUGGUAACGUUUUUAUCCACGGAUGGCUUGCUUGGGUAAGGACGUGAAGACAGUUCCUGUCAUACCUUUUUUAAAGGUAUGGAGAGUCGGCUUGACUACACUGUGUGGAGCAAGUUUUAAAGAAGCAAAGGACUCAGAAUUCAUGCUUGAAGAAAUGCAGGCAGACCUGUUAUCCUAAACUAGGGUUUUUAAUGACCACGACAAGCAAGCAUGCAGCUUACUGCUUGAAAGGGUCUUGCCUCACCCAAGCUGGAGUGCAGUGGCCUCUGAAGCUUACUACAGCCUCAAACU
rnacentral:sRNA from 1 species